rnacentral:misc_RNA from 1 species
UGUAGGAGUGAGCCUGCUCGCGAUAGCGGUGUGUCAGUCACAACUUUUUUACUGACACAUCGCUAUCGCGAGCAGGCUCACUCCUACA